rnacentral:rRNA from 1 species
GAUCCUGGCUCAGAAUCAACGCUGGCGGCGUGCCUAACACAUGCAAGUCGCACGAGAAAGGGGAGCAAUCCCUGAGUAAAGUGGCGCACGGGUGAGUAACACGUGAAUUAUCUACCUCCGAGUGGGGAAUAACCUAGAGAAAUCUGGGCUAAUACCGCAUAACACUUACGAGUCAAAGCAGCAAUGCGCUUGGAGAGGAGUUCGCGGCCGAUUAGCUAGUUGGCGGGGUAAUGGCCCACCAAGGCGAUGAUCGGUAUCCGGCCUGAGAGGGCGCACGGACACACUGGAACUGAAACACGGUCCAGACUCCUACGGGAGGCAGCAGUGGGGAAUUUUGCGCAAUGGGGGAAACCCUGACGCAGCAACGCCGCGUGGAGGAUGAAAUAUCUUGGUAUGUAAACUCCUUUCGAUGGGGAAGAUUAUGACGGUACCCAUAGAAGAAGCCCCGGCUAACUUCGUGCCGGCAGCCGCGGUAAUACGAGGGGGGCAAGCGUUGUUCGGAUUUAUUGGGCGUAAAGGGUGCGUAGGCGGUUUGAUAAGUCUGGUGUGAAAUCUUUGGGCUCAACCCAAAGUCUGCACUAGAAACUGUCGGGCUUGAGUAUGGGAGAGGUGAGUGGAAUUUCCGGUGUAGCGGUGAAAUGCGUAGAUAUCGGAAGGAACACCUGUGGCGAAAGCGGCUCACUGGACCAU